GUAAAGGAAGAGGAAGAAAGGAACACCUGAUCAUGGAGCAAAAGGAAGAAGAGAAGGACCUGGCCAUGGAGCAGGAAGAGGAGCACCUGCCUGUGGAGGAAGAGGAAGAGGACCUGGCCACAGGAGUGGAGCACCUGGCCAUGGAGCAGGAGGAAGAGGAGGAGGACCUGGCUCCAGAGGAGAAAGAGGAAGACCUGGCCAUGGAGAAGGACCAGGCCACAGAGGAGGACAAGGAGGAUCUGGGUCAGGAGGAGGAGAAGGGAGAGGACCUGGCAAUGGAGGAGGACGAGGAUGUGGCCAUGCAGGGGGAAGAAGAAGAGGCGGAAGAAGAGGUAGAGGACCUGACUAUAGACUAGGAGGACCCAGGAAUGGAGGAGGAUGAGGAUGUGCCGAUGCAGGGGGAAGAAGAAGAGAAGGAGGUGGACCUGGCAAUGGAAGAGUAGGAGCAAGAGGACCUGGCCAGAGAGGAAGAUGAGAAGGAGGAGAACCUGGCCACGGAGAAGGAGCAGGAGGAAGAGGACCUGACCAGAGAAGAGGACGAGGAGGAAAAGGAGGAGGAGAACCUGGCCACAGAGGAGAGGGAGGAUCUGGCCAGAGAGGAGGAAGUGGAGGAGGGGGAGGACCUGGCCAUGGGAAUGGAGCACGUGGUCAUGGAGAAGAAAGCAGAAGAGGACGACUUGGAUGAGGAGGAGGAUAAGGAGGGCAAAGCCAAGUCCUCCUCCACCUCCAUGGCCAAUUCCUCCUUGCCCAGAUGCAUAAUCCAUUCCCAUUGCCAGACUCUUGCCCGCGGUGACAAUGAAGGAGCAGGAGAACUUCUGGGCUGCACAGUCGGGUGUCACGGGGACGUCUGUGGGAGCCAUUGACAGUGUGUUCUGUGUGGGCCAUUUUCCUUCUCUGACCCAGGGGUUCUCUGCUCCCAGAAUCUCAGCCAGGGAGGCCACCCUGCAGAAUAUGGCCCCGCAGUUUGGUGAUGGGCUGCAGGAGUCACCACGUAGCUGUGCAGCAGCCAUAGCACCUGCAUUGACCAGGGACCAAAACCUGCAGCCCUCACAGCCCAGGCUGCCCCCACGGAUGGCAAUGGGAGUGUAGCCUGGGCAACUAGCUGCUGGGCCAGGGCAUAUAGAGAGGACUCAGAGAUGCAGCAAACCAGUGGGCAGAGAAGUGAAGGAAGUAAGGGAAAGAGGAGAGCGAGGAGAUCGGGGGAGCUGCUGCAGUCAAGGGACCCCAGCCAGAAGAGAGAAGCUGGGUGGGUUAGACACACAAAGUCCUGCAUCUUGGCAGGGGUUAGACUAGAUGAACCUUGCCAGAGGCGGCGAGUUAUAUGGGCCUGUGGUGCCCGGGCUCCAGCAAAUUCAGGGCCUCGAGGGGCCCGGCUCCACCAAUGUUCAGGGCAGGGUUUCUCCCCCAGCCCGACCUGCCACUCCCACGUGCCACCCCCAGAGCAUCCCCCGGCCCUGCCUGCCACCCCCACGUGCCUCCCCCGGCCCUGCCUGCCACCCCCACGUGCCUCCCCCAAGCGUCUCUGCCUGCCCCCUGCAUCUCCACACUGUGCUCCCUCACUGGCCGCUGCCACUGCAGGCUACAGGGGAGCGGCGCUGGGGGCAGGCUGAGGCGGCUGCUGCGCCUGUGGAAGUAGGAGGCGCAUGGCAGCCUCCCCGCCCCCACCAGGUGACUCCAAGUCGAAUCUGAGGGGAGGGGCUUAUCCCGGUUGGACCUCCUGAGCAGCAGCCUGGUGGGGCCUGGCAUCUGUCACCUAAAAAGAAGGGCUGGCGUGUCUGGAUUUCCUCCGCAUCCUCUGCAGUGAAGACAGAAGCAAGGAACUUUUUUAGCUUCGCCGCAGUGGCCUGGUCUUCCUGGAGUGCUCCUUUAGCACCGAUUGCCUAGUGGCUUUGCUGACCGUUUGGCAGACUUCCUGCAUCCCAUGUACCCCCUCCGCAAGCAAAAACAAGGAGCGCCGCCCCCCCUCCGAGCGUCACACCGCCCAAGGCCCCGCCCCCGAGCAUCACCCAAGCCCCGCCCCCCGAGCGGCGCCCCGCCCAGUCCCCACCCUGAGCAUUGCCCCGCCCAAGUCCCCGCCCCUCGAGCAUCAUGCUGCCCAAGACCCCGCCCCCUAGCGUCACCCAAGC